UAGUCCACGCCGUAAACGAUGAUCACUCGUUGUUGGCGAUACACAGUCAGCGACUAAGCGAAAGCAUUAAGUGAUCCACCUGGGGAGUACGAUCGCAAGAUUGAAACUCAAAGGAAUUGACGGGGGCCCGCACAAGCGGUGGAACAUGUGGUUUAAUUCGAUGAUACGCGAGGAACCUUACCUGGGCUUAAAUGCAGACCGACGGAUCGGGAAACUGAUCUUUCUUCGGACGUUUUGCAAGGUGCUGCAUGGUUGUCGUCAGCUCGUGCCGUGAGGUGUCGGGUUAAGUCCCAUAACGAGCGCAACCCCUAUCGUUAGUUACCAGCGAGUCAUGUCGGGGACUCUAACGAAACUGCCGGUGUAAACCGUGAGGAAGGUGGGGAUGACGUCAAAUCAGCACGGGCCCUUAUGUCCAGGGGCUACACACGUGUUACAAUGGCCAGUACAAAGGGGCAGC
rnacentral:rRNA from 1 species